UAGAACAGAAAUACAGUAUUAUUGAAUGAAAACACUUACAUGUAACUAAAUACUAUGAUCAAGUCCUUCCACAGAUUUAGGUCAGCUAUUCCCUUCCAUGUUUAAUUUUAUUAUUGUGUUGCAGUAACAGUUUCAUCAUCUGUCCUGAGGAAGGGUAUUUCCAUAGAGGAGGUGAUUUGCAUUGGCAGCUCAUGCUUCAGUGCUCUGGGAGUGUUUAUAACCCUGUGAGUUUCAGACUGCAGGACUGAGAUCUGUCCAUCAACACAACAGAAACCACGACAACCAUGACUCUGAUCACCAUCUUCAUCUGGACACUGGUCUGCUGCUGCCUCAAAGGAUCCAGAGGUCAGGUGACUGUGACUCAGCCUCCUGUAGUGACAUUUUCUCCAGGAGACCCCGUCACUCUGACCUGUAGAACCAACCCUAAAGUGUACAAAUACAGUAAUGGAAAUGAAUAUAUGUGCUGGUAUCUACAGAGACCUGGAGAAGCUCCUAAACUCCUGAUUAAAUACGUAAAGACACGGCUAGAUGGGAUUCCUGCUAGAUUCAGUGGCAGUGGGUCUGAGAGUGACUUCACUCUGACCAUCAGUGGAGUCCAGGCUGAAGAUGCAGCAGUUUACUACUGUCAGAGUUCCCACAGUGGUAAUGUGUUCACACAGUGAUUUAGAGACGUACAAAAACCUCCUGCUCGAAAUGACACACAUCACUGGUCCACUGAACACAGAACUAAUGAUCUUGUUAUAUGACAUCACCAAGUACAACCACUUUACUAACUCAGAAAUAAUGGAUACAAACUAGUUUCAUAACCCUCCUAACCUCCCUUGUCUACAAAUAUCCUCCUUAUCAGAAAGAUGCAGGUGAAAUAGUCCCAUUGAGGAUGAAUAAUCCAUAUCAUGUCAACAUAUAAUCAUGUGUGAAGCAAAAAUGUUUGUAUGCCUCAAUGCUUGGUUGACUAACCAGACACACACAGCUGGCCAACACUUCUGUGUAGCAGUAUUGGGUGUGUAAAUGCAUGACUGUGUGUGACAGAGAGAGCCCUGUGAAACAGAAACUUAGAUUUGCAUGUCCCCUCUCCCAGAAUAGAACAGUACACUCCCCAGAUGUUCCCCCAUCCUGACACGACACCAGCGCUAGACCAGAGGAGGUCAAAGAUCAAAGUCAGAGGUUAG